rnacentral:rRNA from 1 species
UACCUACGGGGGGCAGCAGUAGGGAAUUUUCGUCAAUGGGCGCAAGCCUGAACCAGCCAAGCCGCGUGAAGGACGAAGGUGCCAAGCAUUGUAAACUUCUUUUGUCAAGGGACAAAAUCAGGCUCGAGAGCCUGACCGAGGGUACUUGAAGAAAAAGCAUCGGCUAACUCCGUGCCAGCAGCCGCGGUAAUACGGAGGAUGCGAGCGUUAUCCGGAUUUAUUGGGUUUAAAGGGUGCGUAGGCGGGCUGUUAAGUCAGCGGUAAAAUCCCGGGGCUCAACCCCGGCGAGCCGUUGAAACUGGCUG